AGCCUCCAGAUCCCUUGCCCCUCAGAUCUAAAUAUUGGUCUGAGUGGGAAAAAGAAGUAAAGGUCAAACUGAAGUGGACUUGGAGCCUUUAAUGACAUACAAGUUCAUUUCAAAUAUUA
rnacentral:snoRNA from 1 species